UCCGGGUUCAGGAUGGAACGCUAGGGGGCAGGGUUUAACACAAGCCAAGUCGAGGGGCCAGCAAGUUCAGCCAAAUGAAUGAUGGCGACCCGGCGAAAGGGUGCGUAACGCGUGAGCAACAUGCCUUAUACAGGGAGAUACACCAGGGAACUUUGGUCUAUUAUCCCAUAGCAUUCAUUGAAGGCAUCUUUAAUGAAUUAAAGCUUCGGUGGUAUAGGAUUGGCUCGCGUGACAUUAGCCAGAUGGUGAGGUAACGGCUCACCAUAGCAAUGAUGUCUAGGGGUUUUGAGAGGAAGGCCCCCCACACUGGGACUGAGACACGGCCCAGACUCCUACGGGAGGCAGCAGUGAGGAAUAUUGGACAAUGGAUGGAAAUCUGAUCCAGCCAUGCCGCGUGCAGGAAGACGGCCUUAUGGGUUGUAAACUGCUUUUAUACGGGAGCAAUAAGGGUUACGAGUAAUCCGAUGAGAGUACUGUAUGAAUAAGGAUCGGCUAACUCCGUGCCAGCAGCCGCGGUAAUACGGAGGAUCCGAGCGUUAUCCGGAAUUAUUGGGUUUAAAGGGUGCGUAGGCGGCCAUUUAAGUCAGCGGUGAAAUUUUGCAGCUUAACUGUAACAGUGCCGUUGAUACUGUUUGGCUAGGAUUUGGUUGUAGUGUGCGGAAUGUGUGGUGUAGCGGUGAAAUGCUUAGAUAUCACACAGAACACCGAUUGCGAAGGCAGCACACUAAGUCAUUAUUGACGCUGAGGCACGAAAGUGUGGGGAUCAAACAGGAUUAGAUACCCUGGUAGUCCACACUGUAAACGAUGAUAACUCGCUGUCGGCGAUACACAGUCGGUGGCCAAGCGAAAGC
rnacentral:rRNA from 1 species